CAUAUGCUCCCUCCGUCCGAAAAUACUUGUCCUCAAAAUGGUUGUAUCUAGACUUAUUUUAAUUAUAGAUACAUUCUUUUUUUAUCCAUUUCUAGGACAAGUAUUUCCGGACGGAGGAACUAUAUC
rfam:Triticum aestivum genome assembly, contig: Triticum_aestivum_CS42_TGACv1_scaffold_133433_2BL